AGGACGAACGCUGGCGGCGUGCUUAACACAUGCAAGUCGAGCGGAAAGGCCCUUCGGGGUACUCGAGCGGCGAACGGGUGAGUAACACGUGAGUAACCUGCCCCUAGCUCUGGGAUAGCUCCGGGAAACCGGGAUUAAUACCAGAUACGACCACUUUAGACAUCUGUCGUGGUGGAAAGGAUUCCGGCUAGGGAUGGGCUCGCGGCCUAUCAGCUUGUUGGUGGGGUAACGGCCUACCAAGGCGACGACGGGUAGCCGGCCUGAGAGGGCGACCGGCCACACUGGGACUGAGACACGGCCCAGACUCCUACGGGAGGCAGCAGUGGGAUAUUGCGCAAUGGGCGAAAGCCUGACGCAGCGACGCCGCGUGGGGAUGAAGGCCUUCGGGUUGUAAACCCCUUUCAGCAGGGACGAAGCGAAAGUGACGGUACCUGCAGAAGAAGCCCCGGCAACUACGCGCCAGCAGCCGC
rnacentral:rRNA from 1 species